GAUGAAGAACGUAGCGAAAUGCGAUAAGUAAUGUGAAUUGCAGAAUUCAGUGAAUCAUCGAAUCUUUGAACGCACAUUGCGCCCGCUAGUAAUCUGGCGGGCAUGCCUGUCCGAGCGUCAUUUCAACCCUCAAGCCCCCGGGCUUGGUGUUGGGGAUCGGCGAGCCUCCGCGCCCGCCGUCCCCUAAAUCUAGUGGCGGUCUCGCUGUAGCUUCCUCUGCGUAGUAGCACACCUCGCACUGGGAAACAGCGCGGCCACGCCGUUAAACCCCCAACUUCUGAACGUUUGACCUCGGAUCAGGUAGGAAUACCCGCUGAACUUAAGCAUAUCAAUAAGCGGAGGA
rnacentral:misc_RNA from 1 species